rnacentral:misc_RNA from 1 species
CACGUAGGGACCGAGCGUUGUCCGGAUUUAUUGGGCGUAAAGAGCUCGUAGGCGGUUUUGUAAGUCGGAUGUGAAAACUCAGGGCUCAACCCGGAGACGCCAUCCGAUACUGCAAUGACUCGAGUCCGGUAGGGGAGCAUGGAAUUCCUGGUGUAGCGGUGGAAUGCGCAGAUAUCAGGAGGAACACCAGUGGCGAAGGCGGUGCUCUGGGCCGGUACUGACGCUGAGGAGCGAAAGCGUGGGGAGCAAACAGG